UGGCUGCAGCGGUCCUCUUGGUCCAUGUCCAGGGGGAACCUGGGCUGCUAGGUGCGUGGGGGUGAGGCCAUGCUAAAUCACGGCACUGGUGCUUCUGAGGGCGCCCUCGCGAAGCGGAUCCCCUUCUCGGUUGGCUGCUCGGCAUCGCCAGAAGGGGAAGGACUCCGGGAGUGAUCUCAACCUGGAGGCCAGGCUUGACUGUGACCGACCUCCGCACGCUGCCAUCCUCCAGCUCCACACUCUCCUGCCUACCGGGCUGGCGUGCGAUCCGGGAGAUCCAGGCCGGGUUUUGGGCGGAGCGCUGAGGCUGCGAGCACUAAAGCUGCGGGCGCGGAUUCCUCGUUCGUCGCCCUCUGCCGCAGACCCCGGCGCGACAUCAUGGUGCUGGACGAACUGUGGACCUCGCUCUCCGGAGCCUCCGGGGCUGCCCUGGCCUGCUGCUUCGUGGCGGUGGUGGUGGCCCUCCGCUGGUCGGGUCGCCGGACAGCGCUGGGCGCGAGGGCGCGGGCGCGGCAGAGGCAGCUAGCGGGCCUGGAGACCAUGGACCAGGCGGCGCGGCGCUUCCGGCUCCAGAACCCCAACCUGGACUCUGAGGCACUGUUGGCCUUGUCCCUGUCUGAACUGGUACAGAAGUUACACAGUGGGGAGCUGUCCCCAGAAGCUGCCCUCUUCACCUAUGUGGGAAAGGCCUGGGAAGUGAACAGAGAGCUCAACUGUGUAACCUCCUACCUGGCUGACUGUGAGACUCAGCUGCGCCAGGCCCCACGUCAAGGCCUGCUCUACGGUGUCCCUGUGAGCCUCAAGGAGUGCUUCAGUUACAAGGGCCAGAACUCAACGCUGGGCUUGAGCCUGAAUGAGGGGGUGCCAGCCGAGGUCGACAGCGUGGUGGUACAGGUGCUAAAGUUGCAGGGUGCCAUGCCCUUUGUGCACACCAAUGUCCCCCAGUCCAUGAUCAGCUAUGACUGCAGUAACCCCCUCUUUGGGCGGACCGUGAAUCCAUGGAAGUCCUCGAAGAGCCCAGGUGGCUCCUCAGGGGGUGAGGGGGCCCUCAUUGCAUCUGGAGGCUCACCCCUGGGUUUGGGCACUGACAUUGGUGGCAGCAUCCGUUUCCCUUCUGCCUUCUGUGGCGUCUGCGGCCUCAAGCCUACUGGGAACCGCCUCAGCAAGAAUGGCCUGAAGGGCUGUAUCCAUGGACAGAGCGCAGUGCAGCUCUCUGUUGGCCCCAUUGCUCGGGAUGUGGAGAGCCUGGCCCUGUGCCUGCGGGCUCUUUUGUGUGAGGACAUGUUUCGCCUGGACCCCACCGUGCCACCCCUGCCCUUCCAGGAGGAGGUUUACACAAGCUCCCAGCCCCUGCGUGUGGGAUACUAUGAGACUGACAACUAUACCAGGCCCAGCCCGGCCAUGAAGCGGGCCCUGCUGGAGACCAAGCAGAGGCUUGAAGCGGCUGGUCACACGCUUAUUCCCUUCCUGCCAAGUGACAUACCCUAUGCUCUGGAGACACUGUGUGCAGGUGGGCUGUUCAGUGAUGGUGGCCACAGCUUCCUCCAGAACUUCAAAGGUGAUUUUGUAGACCCCUGCCUGGGAGACCUGACCUUAAUUCUGAAACUACCCAGCUGGCUUAAAGGACUUCUGGCCUUCCUGCUGAAGCCUCUGUUCCCGCGGCUGGCAGCCUUUCUCAGCAGCAUGAGGCCUCGGUCAGCUGGAAAACUCUGGGAGCUACAGCACAAAAUUGAGGAGUACCAGAAAUCUGUGAUUGCUGAGUGGAGAGCGCUGAACCUGGAUGUGCUACUGACCCCGAUGCUGGGCCCGGCUCUGGACCUGAAUGCUGCAGGAAGGGCCACAGCCUUUGUGGCAUGUUUCAGGGGCCAUCAGCUACACCGUCCUUUAUAACUGCCUGGAUUUCCCUGCGGGAGUGGUGCCUGUCACCACGGUGACCACUGAGGAUGAGGCCCAGAUGGAACAUUACAGGGGCUACUUUGGGGAUAUCUGGGACACGGUAUUACAGAAGGCCCUGAAGAACAGUGUGGGGCUGCCCGUGGCCGUGCAAUGUGUGGCUCUGCCCUGGCAGGAAGAGCUGUGUCUGCGGUUCAUGCGGGAGGUGGAGCAGCUGAUGACCCCUGAGAAGCGGCCAUCCUGAGGGCUGCCAGCCACUUGGCUCCAAAGGCCCCAGCAGAACAUACCCUGUAACCCAGCCCAAUGGGGCACAUGGCCACCCUGUGAGGAAAUACUCAGCAUGGGGCCGAGGCUUCUGUGUCCCCUUCCCUGAGCCCCUGCCAAAGACUCCCCAAGUCUGGAUCUUGUUUCCCUCUCUGGUCUCCUUUCCAUCCUGACCCCCAUCCUACCCCCACACUUAUGGCAACCAGCAGGGCCAAGACUACCAAUAAGUCAAAAAAUGUUUCCUCGCUGAGGGCUGCUGGGACUGGAGCCUAUUGAAAGCAGGGCUGGCUUGAUCUUCCAGAGCCAGGUGUCAGUCACGUCACCCUUCUGCCCCCAAGCCCCCCAAGUCUCCAUUACCCUUAGGAGGGACACGUACAGUGUCUCCAGCACUUUAUUCCAGCCCCUCCUCUCUUGCUUGGACUCACUCAGGGUUUGCUAGAUACUGACCUUGGUUUCUCCUCCUCUGUUCUCUGCCCUUCCUGCUCCUCUGCCACUCAGUACUUGAAGGCCUGGGCCAGACCCUUCUUUCUCCAGGAGGCUUUCUGUGUUGCUUCUGGGCCCUGGAAGGUGUGAGCUCUUUCCUGCCAGGCUCCCCUAUAUGGGGCAUCUGUGGCAGGUGUCUCCCUAACCAGCUCUCCUAAAUGGUGGGGACCACAUAGCUAUGUCUUUGUGUCCUGUGGCCAGCACAGGGCAACAGGGUGGGCACCUGAGUUGGGCUGUAGGGAAUUGAAUGGACACCGGCCUUGAGCCAGUGCUCUUGGGCCAAGGAGCCCACAGGCCUGGGGUUGGUGGUCAGUGAUCUGGGGAGAGUGUUCAGUUGCAGGGUCAGCUGAAGCCUGCCUUGUUCUGUUAGUCCAGAAAGUUUUUCAUGCCAAGGAACAGGGAAUGAGGGCAUUCCUGGGAGGAAGUACUGUAUGUCCAAGACCAGGGUGAGCUUGGAUGAGCAGGGAUGUUGAAUGGGUACAGAGGAAACAGAGGUGUAAAUAAGCCAGGUCAGCAACUCGAAUUCUGUCUCAAAGGCAAUGGCUUGUGAAGGGCCAUAUAGGCUCAGUGAGGGGAGCAGACAGAGUAAGAGUGCUGCUGCUGACUGCUGAUCUGGGAGAGGGGAGAGGGCUGGAGAGACUGCCUGAGGAUGGGUACUUGGGGUACAGGUAAGCUGUUUCAUCUCAGAGUCUCGGUCCUGCUCUGGCUGCCUGCUCAUGUCUCUUACUGGGCUGAGUUGCCUGGCAGGGGGAGCAUAGUUUGUGGGGGACUGAGCACCUUCCACAGAAUUCCCCAUCUGCCGGCCCCAGCCUAACUCUUUUGUGGUCUGGAGAAGGCUGAGAGUCUGAUCACUCAUGGUAGGGCAGGUACUGGCCCACACCUGGCCUAUUUUACAUUUUCUUCCAACCAAAUUGCCUUUCCAAGGCUUUCUUCUCCACCCUGAUUUCCCUGUUCCUCGGUGCCUUUCCUCCCAGCUUACUGCCCACUGGAGUCCAUGCCCCUACCAAACUGCCCUAUCUGGAGGACCCACACCUUGGGGGUGGCUGACUCAAGGGCCCAACCUGCAUUGAGACACCUAGAUUGAGAUAAGUAGGUUCUUGCCACACUUUGCCUUGGUUCCUCCUAACUUGACAACUGCCUUAUAAUAGCUGUUGUAAUUUUCUCUCAUUGUCCCAUAAAACCAUCUGUCACCUGUGCCAGCUUCCUGUUUCUCCCACCCAUUUCUCUUUCAGUGACUGGUAGACUUGUCCUUUCAGACCCAAGGUGGGGAUGCCAUUCCUUUAUUCUUUCGCUGCUGGUUCUUGAUUUCAGCCUUCCAGACCCCUAGUCUGGCUACAUCCAGCCCUGUGCUUAGUGGGGCUGGAGACGGAAGCCUGGCUGCCAUCCUUGAGAGGGAAUUGACAUACACAACUGCUCCCUAGUGACUGAUAAGAUUUUUGUCGUGAUAAGAAAGACAAAGCAGGGGCUGGGGAUUUAGCUCAGCGGCAUAAGCACCUGCCUUGCAAGCAGGCAGUCGUGAGUUCGAUCCCUGGUACCGAUAAAAAUGAAAAAGACAAAAAAAAAAAAAAAAAAAAAAAAAAGCAGAAAAGAGGCCUUUAUUGUGGGCACAGGAGGGCUACAGAAGAGAAGCAAGCACUCUUGGAACAAAGUAGAAGUGCUUUUAUCAGGUCUGGCUGGAGGAGGAGUUUGGGAGUUGGGUAACAUGACAUAGCAACAACUGAUUUGAAGCCACACAUGUAUGCACAAAAACAGGAAACAUUAACUGGGGGCUGGGGUAGGGCACUUGGGUGGUUGUAGAGUCUUGGGAUUGGAGAGGGCUCAGCACCUAUGCAAAAAAGGAGCAGGGGGUUUAUUUCUGGAACUAGAAGAACGUAGAAGUUACUCUUGGAGUAACUCUUGCUUCUCUGGGCCUGGUACCAAGUUGGGUGGAUGUCAUGUUAGAGAUAGCUAAGCCUCAGGCUGGCAGAAUCUAUCAAUAACCUGGGCCAGGUCAAGGGGGCACAAGGAUGGGGCCCCUUGCAGCUGAGGGAAGAGAAGGGGUCACAGAGGCACAAAGCUAUCCACUGUGGUACAUGUCCACCAUCAUGCUUUCGUCCCAGCUACCCGCCUUUCAUCCAGGUAGAGUGGUAACUUCCUAGCCCUCGGCCUCCCUGCUUCCAUGUUUGCCAGCCCUCAGUCCCUUCAAGAGUGAUCCUUCAGGAGUCAGUCAUAGUUGAAUCACUCUGCUGAAGACCUCCCACUGGAAUAGAAUCCAGUCUCCUCGUGGGACACAGCUCCUGUCCACCUCUUCAGUCUCCUCUUGUAGGUUUCUUCCUCUCAUCUACUGUGCUCUGGCCACACAAGCACUUUGGUUUCUUGGUCAUCUGGAGCUGGUCUCUGCUUCAGAGUUUUUGUGUUAGCUGUUCCUCUGUGUCACCUUCCCUCACACCAGCUGUCACUUUCUAACAUGUUACCCUUUGUACAUUUUCUUUAAAAAUAGAAUUCUUUCUAUCUAAAAUCA